rnacentral:rRNA from 1 species
CUCCAAUAGCGUAUAUUAAAGUUGUUGCGGUUAAAAAGCUCGUAGUUGGACUUCUGCAGGGGACGACCGGUCUACCACUGGGUUAGCAUCUGGCUCGGCUUGCAUUUUCAGGCACAGGCUGCUGCACUUGAUUGUGUGGUGCUUACGUCUGAACCUUUACCUUGAAUAAAACAGAGUGUUCAAAGCAGGCUUUCGCCUGA